UAAGGAAUAUUGGUCAAUGCCCGGAAGGGUGAACCAGCCAUCCCGCGUGAAGGAUGAAGGGGCUCUGCCUUGUAAACUUCUUUUGAAUGGGACGAAAAAGCCUCACUUGUGAGGAACUGACGGUACCAUUAGAAUAAGCACCGGCUAACUCCGUGCCAGCAGCCGCGGUAAUACGGAGGGUGCGAGCGUUAUCCGGAAUCACUGGGUUUAAAGGGUGCGUAGGCGGCUGUAUAAGUCAGUGGUGAAAGGCUGUGGCUUAACCAUGGGAUUGCCAUUGAUACUGUACGGCUUGAAUUAGGAUGAGGUUGGCGGAAUGUGACAUGUAGCGGUGAAAUGCUUAGAUAUGUCAUGGAACAUCGAUUGCGAAGGCAGCUGACUGGACCUUAAUUGACGCUGAGGCACGAAAGCGUGGGGAGCGAACAGGAUUAGAUACCCCUGUAGUCCCUGAGCGGGCUGGCAAGGCGCAU
rnacentral:rRNA from 1 species